rnacentral:rRNA from 1 species
UACAGAGGGUGCGAGCGUUGUUCGGAAUUACUGGGCGUAAAGCGCGCGCAGGCGGCCCUUUAAGUCCGUCGGUCAAAUGCCGGGGCUCAACCCCGAGCGUGCCGAGGAUACUGGAGGGCUGGAGACACGUAGAGGCAAGCGGAAUUCCAGGUGUAGCGGUGAAAUGCGUAGAUAUCUGGAGGAACACCGGUGGCGAAGGCGGCAUCCUGGACCGGUAUUGACGCUGAUGCGCGAAAGCCAGGGGAGCAAACGGG